rnacentral:tRNA from 2 species
GGGCGGGUAGCUCAGUUGGGAGAGCACCGGCUUUACAAGCCGGGGGUCACAGGUUCAAGCCCUGUUCCGCCUACCA